rnacentral:lncRNA from 1 species
AUCCACGGCACGGCCGACGACAACGUACACUACCAGCAGUCCAUGAUGCUGUUCGCGCUCGCUGGAGCUGGCCGACAUCUUCUUCAUGCAGCAGACGUAUCCGGACGAGAACCACGCCCUGGGGGGCAUCCGGCGUCACCACUACCACACGAUGGAGCACUUCUUGGAGACCUGCUUCCAGCUGCCGCACAUGCCGUUCGGACGCCCGGCUGCGGCGACGGGCCGCAGGGGGGCGUGAGCCGCCCCCAUCUAGACCAUUCCGGGCGCCCGCGGUGCCCUCGGUGUGCGCGUGUGGAUGUCUCCCAGUGCUGUCCAGCGGUCUGACGAGGCCGGGCAAGACUGCCCGCACUGCGCUGACAGCGACCACGUGGCCAAAGUGAACGGUGUUGGUGUCCUGUGGCCGGCUGGGGGCGGAGCCCGAGCGUAGUCUGUGACUUUGAACGUGCGGACGGACGCUGGACCAUUCCGCCGGUCCGCCGGACUCGACGGCGGACCGGCCGGCGGUCCGCGGUCCGAAGCCCGCGCCUCAAGGCCGUCGUCGGAUCCGAUCUGGCAGCCCGCCGCGGAUCUGGCAGCCCGACGGUGCCGUGUGGCGCGGGCUGAGCCGCCGCUGGUCCGCCGCUGAGCGGGACUGGUGGCUGGCUCCCGGCUGGCUUACCUAGCUGGUGAUGCCAAUUAGAGGAUCAAACCGUGGCGGAAAUUCUGCAGGGACGGCGUGGAACACCCUUGAAGCGGAGGAAUUAUGGAUCUUGCUACCUUACUACGCUUUGACAGAUCUGAUGCACUGUUCCCAAUACACAUUUUACGGACCUUAUGUCAGUGAUGCAGUCAAAACGUUCUUGCCAAGACAUGACUGAGCAAAUGUAUUAUCGACCUGUUCGUGACCUAUAAACUGGUUUGCGCAGGAGUACUUCUACCGUGUGGGCAGAAUUUAGGUGGGUGGAUCGGAGCCACGCAAAUGUUCUCUGUGAAGGUCGUCUCGCAUCGCUGCCCGGGGCUUGGGCCAAGCUAUUUUUUACGCUAUAGCUGAAAGCCAUUACAGGCAGCGUGAAUCGUACAGCAACGUAGCCUCUAACCCGUUGGAAUCUCUCCUUCCUCUCGUCUGCCCAGAACAAAACACGCGCUUCAUUGCGUGUUCGCCGCGAGGUCACUGGGCCUGUGCACCCGCUGUGGUUUACGGAAUGUACUGAUUCAUGAAAUCUUUCUGCAACGGGAUUUCGCGACAUUCGGAGGAUCGCAGUCGGCGACGACGAUGUCCUUCGGCAGACGCUUGUUCUCUUGCGGCGACGUUUAUGAAGUUGGCACGCUUUGUCCGUGUGUAAGAAUGUCCUUUCUUUGUGGUUUGUGCGUGCCGGCUGACAGGGUUUCAAUCGGGAAUCCCAUUCCAAUCAGUGUUCGGUGUUCCGUAUGGUGUCCCUUACCACGAAUGCCGCGUCACAAACAUUCCAUUCCGAGCGCACUGGACGGCCAGUGAUUGGCAUGUUGUGUUCGCUUCUCCGAGCGCCCCACUGGGUGGGAGGCUGCGGCCGAGUGAGCGUCAGGGGCCGCGGCAGCAGGCCGGGAGGCCGGCCGACAACAUGCCAAGCAUGCUCUGCAGGACGAUCCGCCGCGGUGUUCCGUUACAAAUGGUCUGGGGUUCAGGCGAAGGUGUCGUGGUAACUGCUGAGGCGCUGCGGCGAAGUGAUGGGAUGGUGCGCCGCGUGAAGCGCGAUGUCUGCAGCUCGUCACCAGACGUUAGCAUGACCUGCCCCAAGGGCUUGUUGCCAGUCCGUGGUUAUCAAGCGUCGCACGUGCACAGCCGGGUUAAAAUCAUGCCGUACCGCAAUUUGUUUGAAAGCUGUGGUUGAUUCACAUCCUGCGAUGAAAAGGCGCCGCUCCUCAGGCGAAGUACCGACCGAACUGUCAGACAGCUACCCAGCGACAAUGGAGACAACCGUUAACGCUGUAGCCAGCAACAUGCCAUUUUGAUACCACAGUCGCUUGCGUGCACGACGAUGAUAGGAUUGUUCUCAAUGUGUUUUUAUUGUGCAUUGUACGUAUAAAAUGUGUGAUCCUGGCUCUGAUAAUAUAUAUCUAUGGGAAUGAG